rfam:Zea mays cultivar B73 chromosome 4, whole genome shotgun sequence.
GAGGGUUGGAUGAUGAUCAGUUGCAUAGUUCAAAUGAUUACUUCUGUAAUGACUAUGAUUACACUGAAUUGUCUUUCGCUCCUAACUGACAAUCUUC